GAACUUUUCACUGAUUUUGGCAAUCCUUUAUGCUUCUUCUGUAACAGUGCUUUAGGCUGUACCUAGCAAAUACGGCAAAAAAACUUCCUCGUAUGUCUUCACCACAAUUAACAAAUGAGAGACAUGAGUUGCUGCUGUUAACUUGAAGAAGUUCAUUUCUUUGUCCUUUUAAAUCUUACUCUCUCCAGAAUAAAUCCUUCUUUAUUUCUGUGGUUGUUAGUUGAGUUUGUGUGGUAAGAUGAAGAUGCCUGUGCUUGUGAUUCCAGGAACCAUAUGAAAUAUGUGAUAUUCUUAAGAUUGCUCUUAAUGUUUUUUUGAUUCAUUUUAACCAAAAAUUUCAAUUUUAUCCCAAUGCUGGUUGUCUUUUUCUCAUUCACACUUCUCAUGAGUUUGAUGUCUUUCAAUCUUUGUCUUGGUCUGGCUCUACUGUAUAUAUGGAGGUUCAUAAAAUUGAGCAAGAUUGUUUGUAUAAUGAUUAAUUUCUGUUCUAUUAGGAAACCUAGAUUUUAUUUUGUGUGAUUGUCUGCUAGAAUCAUCUGUGCAUGUUGAGGAACAGAAGACUGAA
rnacentral:misc_RNA from 1 species